rnacentral:rRNA from 1 species
UACAGAGGGUGCAAGCGUUAUUCGGAAUUACUGGGCGUAAAGCGCGCGUAGGCGGUUUGGUAAGUUGGAUGUGAAAUCCCCGGGCUCAACCUGGGAACUGCAUUCAAAACUGACAAGCUAGAGUAUGGUAGAGGGUGGUGGAAUUUCCUGUGUAGCGGUGAAAUGCGUAGAUAUAGGAAGGAACACCAGGGGCGAAGGCGACCGCCUGGACUGAUACUGACACUGAGGUGCGAAAGCGUGGGGAGCAAACAGG